UUCUCUUUUAGCGAUCUCUUACUUUCACUCUAUUUCCUUAUUCGCGCGCUCGUUUUCCCUCGAAGAAGAAAGCUCAUUUCACGUCUCAUCGUCUCAUCGUCGUUCAUUAUACCGACGAUAGAACGCGCGCGCGACAAAGCAAACCGUGUUAGUGAUUAGCGAUCGAACAGAUUACCCAGCACACGUACCCACACCGUAUUAAAUUUAAUUAAAAGAAUUUAUUCAAUGCGACAACGAGCGUUAUACUCGACACAUGCGAGAGAAAGGAGGGAACUAACAAAGCUGUGGUACUGUCACGUUAAAUAUCACAUUAGAGUGUGUAGCAUUCUCCAAAACGGAGGAGCCAGUUUUUUUAAAACUUUGUAAAUGAAAGAGAGAACAGGCAUGCAAGAUUGCAACCUCUACGAAGCAAAUAAAAUUAAAAGAUUUUUCGUUUUAUUUUACGAUACGCACGCUCUGGUGAAUGCUUGUACAGCGAUAACAAAGUGAUCUACAAAGCUCGAAUCUUACAUCUGGCAGAAGCACAUUCUCAUACGUUUGUAGCUAAAAAUGUUAUUACUUUCUUGACAACGAAACAUUUAACAUUUGAAAGGUGAAAAGAAUCUCACAAAGAUCAUUUACUUCAUUGCUCUCUUCUGUCAAGAAAUUUGGCAUGAGAAUCGUGCUUCGGAUCAGUGCAACGUUUGAGCUAAAUCGGUGAGCCAAGCGCUUCACAAGUCUCUCGUAAAUAAGGAACUACAGGGGAUAGAUACAAAAGAGCGAGGAACCAAUAAGCAAAUACAAAAUAAACAAAAAUUUGUUGAA